GGCUCAGUAGUUGCAGCUUUCAGGCUCUAGAACAUAGGCUCAAUAGGUGUGGCGAAUGUCUUUAGUUGCCCCACAGCAUGUGGGAUCCUC